rnacentral:rRNA from 1 species
UACGUAGGCGGAAAAUUAAGUCAGUAGUGAAAUCCUGCAGCUUAACUGUAGAACUGUUAUUGAUACUGGUUUUCUUGAAUGUAGUUGAGGUAGGCGGAAUAUGUAAUGUAGCGGUGAAAUGCUUAGAUAUUACAUAGAACACCGAUUGCGAAGGCAGCUUACUAAGCUACGAUUGACGCUGAGGUACGAAAGCGUGGGGAGCGAACAGGAUUAGAUACCCUGGUAGUCC